rnacentral:rRNA from 1 species
UUUAAUUCGACGCAACGCGCAGAACCUUACCAGCUCUUGACAUCUGUCGAACUUCCGAGAGAUCGGUUGGUGCCCGCAAGGGAGCGACAAGACAGGUGCUGCAUGGCUGUCGUCAGCUCGUGUCGUGAGAUGUUGGGUUAAGUCCCGCAACGAGCGCAACCCUCGCCUUUAGUUGCCAGCACGUUUGGGUGGGCACUCUAGAGGAACUGCCGGUGACAAGCCGGAGGAAGGUGGGGAUGACGUCAAGUCCUCAUGGCCCUUAUGGGCUGGGCUACACACGUGCUACAAUGGUGGUGACAGUGGGAAGCCAGGUCGCGAGGCCGAGCGGAUCCCUAAAAGCCAUCUCAGUUCAGAUUGCACUCUGCAACUCGGGUGCAUGAAGGUGGAAUCGCUAGUAAUCGCGGAUCAGCAUGCCG